UAAGCAGGUCGAGUGGUCGCGGGUGCGGUCCGGCCGAAAGGCCGAAACUCGCGCCUGAGGAAAGUCCGGGCUCCAUAGGGCAGGGUGCUGGGUAACGCCCAGCGAAGGUGACUUCAGGGAAAGUGCCACAGAAACAUACCGCCUCGAGAGCCGGGGCCCAUGCCCUGAGGCAUGCCCAGCCUCAGAGCAAUCACGGCACCGGAGGCUCGCGGGGUAAGGGUGAAAAGGUGGUGUAAGAGACCACCGGCAGUCGGGUGACCGGCUGGCCAGGCAAACCCCACCCGGAGCAAGACCAAAUAGGAGGGCAAUGACGUGGCCCGCCGAGCCCUCGGGUAUGGUCGCUUGAGGAGAAGGGUAACUUUCUCCCCAGAUGGAUGACCACUCUCGACAGAACCCGGCUUACAGACCUGCUUACCGA
rnacentral:RNase_P_RNA from 1 species